UACGAAGGGGGCUAGCGUUGUUCGGAAUUACUGGGCGUAAAGGGCUCGUAGGCGGCCAACUAAGUCAUACGUGAAAUCCCUCGGCUUAACCGGGGAACUGCGUCUGAUACUGGAUGGCUUGAGAUUGGGAGAGGGAUGCGGAAUUCCAGGUGUAGCGGUGAAAUGCGUAGAUAUCUGGAAGAACACCCGUGGCGAAGGCGGCUCUCUGGGACGGUACUGACGCUGAGACGCGAAAGCGUGGGGAGCGAACAGG
rnacentral:rRNA from 1 species